UACAGAGGGUGCGAGCGUUGUCCGGAAUCACUGGGCGUAAAGGGCGCGUAGGUGGUGGCUUAAGCGUGCGGUGAAAGCUCGGGGCUCAACCCCGAGUCGGCCGUGCGAACUGGGCUCACUGGAGCAUAGUAGAGGCAGGUGGAAUUCCGGGUGUAGCGGUGGAAUGCGUAGAGAUCCGGAAGAACACCGGUGGCGAAGGCGACACACUGGCCCGUUACUGACGCUGAGGCGCGAAAGCGUGGGGAGCAAACAGG
rnacentral:rRNA from 1 species